rnacentral:ncRNA from 1 species
GAUCAAGCGUUGAAGGGCUUCUGACGGAUGCCUUGGCGUAGAGAGGCGAUGAAGGACGUGGCAAGCUGCGAUAAGAACCGGGGAGGCGCUAGCG